UGCCCCCGGAGGGAAGGUGGCCCCGGUUAUGCGCGUCACUAGAUGGCAGUGUUAUACACGCACCUCUGGUGUUUUUUUCUUCUUUUCCCUUAGCUGGUGCUGCAGCACACGACUGCCUGCCUGCCUGCACAAGUGCUGGUGCUCCUCGGGGUGCGUUUCUGCCAGCAGCUGCCUCCCAAGGGCUCUUUCCUCGGAAAUUGAUACUAAGGCACGGUAAAGAAAGAAUUUGUCGUACUGCAUGUGCUACUGGUCUCUGAAUAGUACUUCUGUCCAUCUACAUGCCUGAAGAUGCAAAGAAAACAGGCAAUGAAAGAUCUCGAAGCAAUUCCCUGCAGGAUCAGCGCAUCUGUAAGGUACCCAGCACAAAAGGGACCGAUCUGAGUUGGAAGCUCUUUGUGUCAUUAUAAUCACACUAAUAAGUUCUUUAGCCUGGGUACUGUAGCUCAUUUGAUCAGAUUUUACCAGAUGUGCUUCCUCACAGCACUUCUUUCUCAGUAAUAUUCUGGUUUAGUGGGGAGGAGAAGAUGAGAAGGAGCAGGGCACCUGCUACAACACUUGCAAAGUGAUGGAGGUCACGGUCAGAUCCAAUUAAGAACAAGAACUGAAGAGAUAGUUAGUUAGUAUCCCCGUCAGCUAUCCAGUGCUCUGUCCUCUCUCACCUCAGUCCAAGUUUUGCAUUAAAAUAAUUUCCUGCCUUGAUUUUCCUCCUUUGUUUAAUUAUCUGUAUUGUUUGCUCUAUUUCUUUUCAUGUUACAUUUAUUAAGCUAUUUCUUUCCCUGUUGGCUUAACUGCAAAAGUCUUGUGUUGAAUAUGCAUGGAAUCUACUACAACCUUCAGGCACUGGUGAAUCUCCAAUACUGUUAUUUUAUAAUAGAUAUUUUGUGGACACUACACACACAGUAGUAGUAAAUUUAUUGAAGUGUAAAGAGAAAAAAACCGCUCGGUACAAUGCAGUGCUUCAGGACCACAAUUUGGUAUAGCUCUCCAUCACAGACAAACAUCAAGUUAUACUGUCUGUCAUAAAAGAAUUGGAUGUGAUAAAUUCUGUGAGCAGUAUAUUAAAUUUAAGGCUUGAAAACUAGCCACUUUCACAGUGCCAGCUCCAGGAAGCUGGCUCGAUUUCCCUUUGGCUUGAUAUUUAACAAAUUGCCAUGAAAUUAUGUGGGUGUUCCUUUCUUUCUCUUCAAAACACUGCCUUUUGAAACUUCACUCUUCAAUAUUUUCUGUGCACAUCCUAAUGGAUAAACAUUCACAUCUCAGGAUUUCUCACAAUUGGCAGAAAUUGGCAGCUUUGUUGUUUGUGAGAAGAGGCAAAGGACAGAAAUGGAAUGGCAUUAUUGCCCCAUAAAUGUGAUUUCAUCAAAUGAGCCUGCAAGCCUGGAAAAUUCAUAGUUCUCCCUUUGGAUUGCUUCAACACUGGAUGUGUUCUGUGGAUAAUGCGGGGACUUGCAUGCCUGGUCCAAAACCAGCUGAAGUUGGCAGAAAGAUUCAAUUGUUUUGAUGGUAAUUCUUUGGAAUAUAUGUCCUUAUCUACUGACAUGGAUUAAAAUAAGUAUACGGAAAUACCUGUGCCAAGCUUCUGUUCCAUCCUCACUGCCAGAUGACAACUCAGGGAAAGCACUCAUGGUUUUGCUGCUUUUCAGAUGGGGAAACCCAGUCUUGAUGUAAGUGGGAGCCUGCCAAAUCAAGUAAAUGAUGCAUCAGCUGAAAGACUGCAAGAGAAUUUUUACGCUGUGUGUCUAGAAGCGGGAU